rnacentral:lncRNA from 1 species
UUUUUGCUGUUUCCAGAGAGCUCCAGGGCCCUUUUCUUUGCUGGGAAACCACUAGUCCUCUUUGAUAGUGGAGUUGAGAGAGUUGGGUAGGGCUGGCCCACCCAAAAGAGCAGCAAGAAGUAGCGGAUACAUGUGCAGGACGUGCAGGUUUGCUACAUAGGCUCGAUGAUUUCUGGGGGCCUUUUGAAAUACCAUCCUGACUUGCAGAAGUCAUAGUUUGAUAUUGCUGCUUGCUGGCUUAAGAAGAGUUUUGAUCAGAGCAUUUGGGUAAAGCCAUUGAAGCACAUUGAGACAAGAGAAGUCUGCAGCCUGCACACGGAAGAGGACCCUCACCAGAGCCUGACCUUGCUGGCACCCUGAUCUUGGACUUCUGGCCUCCAGAACAUUGAACAGGGUCUUGCUCUGUCACCCAGGCCGCAGUACAGCAGCACAAUCUCAGCUCACUGCAUC